GUCCUACGGGAGAAAGCAGGGGACCUUCGGGCCUUGCGCUAUCAGAUGAGCCUAGGUCGGAUUAGCUUGUUGGUGAGGUAAUGGCUCACCAAGGCGACGAUCCGUAACUGGUCUGAGAGGAUGAUCAGUCACACUGGAACUGAGACACGGUCCAGACUCCUACGGGAGGCAGCAGUGGGGAAUAUUGGACAAUGGGCGAAAGCCUGAUCCAGCCAUGCCGCGUGUGUGAAGAAGGUCUUCGGAUUGUAAAGCACUUUAAGUUGGGAGGAAGGGCAGUAAGCUAAUACCUUGCUGUUUUGACGUUACCGACAGAAUAAGCACCGGCUAACUCUGUGCCAGCAGCCGCGGUAAUACAGAGGGUGCAAGCGUUAAUCGGAAUUACUGGGCGUAAAGCGCGCGUAGGUGGUUUGUUAAGUUGGAUGUGAAAGCCCCGGGCUCAACCUGGGAACUGCAUCCAAAACUGGCAAGCUAGAGUACGGUAGAGGGUGGUGGAAUUUCCUGUGUAGCGGUGAAAUGCGUAGAUAUAGGAAGGAACACCAGUGGCGAAGGCGACCACCUGGACUGAUACUGACACUGAGGUGCGAAAGCGUGGGGAGCAAACAGGAUUAGAUACCCUGGUAGUCCACGCCGUAAACGAUGUCAACUAGCCGUUGGAAUCCUUGAGAUUUUAGUGGCGCAGCUAACGCAUUAAGUUGACCGCCUGGGGAGUACGGCCGCAAGGUUAAAACUCAAAUGAAUUGACGGGGGCCGCACAAGCGGUGGGAGCAUGUGGUUUAAUUCGAAGCAACGCGAAGAACCUUACCAGGCCUUGACAU
rnacentral:rRNA from 1 species